UAAUUCAGUAAUUACAGUUAAAUGUUAAUUCAUUAUACAUUAGUUAAUUGUUAGCCUUAAUUUUUAUAUUUUUUUUAAUUUUAUAUCUGAUAUAUUUUUUCUUAUUGCAAGGUUAAACAACAUGAUGAAAACUACAUGGUUGCUUCAGUGGAUGUUGAUCUUUUUCAUAUCAAGAUUAAACCGAUAUUAUUGGAUGUGGUUUCAUUUGCGUACUAAAGAAUCGACUCUUUCUAUCUAUGGAUGUCACAGUUUUGUUUGCUUCAAAAUCUAGGCUUUUUUCAAAGCCACAA